GUCUAUGGCCAUACCACCCUGAAAGCACCAGAUCCCGUCUGAUCUCGGAAGCUAAGCAGGGUCAGGCCUGUUAGUACUUGGAUGGGAGACCUAUUUAAUUCUUAUUGCAAGCAACAUUGCUA
rfam:Mesocricetus auratus contig048259, whole genome shotgun sequence.